CACACGACGGACAGACAGACAGUGCAGUCACCCAUAAAGUAGAAAGCACUACUAACAGCACUGGAGGGUGUAGUGUUUCCUACUUUAUGGAUGAGUGUACUGUGGGCUUCGGAGACCACGCCA
rnacentral:pre_miRNA from 13 species